UACGAAGGGGGCUAGCGUUGCUCGGAAUCACUGGGCGUAAAGCGCACGUAGGCGGAUUGUUAAGUCAGGGGUGAAAUCCUGGAGCUCAACUCCAGAACUGCCUUUGAUACUGGCGAUCUUGAGUCCGGGAGAGGAGAGUGGAACUGCGAGUGUAGAGGUGAAAUUCGUAGAUAUUCGCAAGAACACCAGUGGCGAAGGCGGCUCACUGGCCCGGUACUGACGCUGAGGUGCGAAAGCGUGGGGAGCAAACAGG
rnacentral:rRNA from 1 species